GUAGGGAAUAUUGGGCAAUGGUCGGAAGACUGACCCAGCCAUGCCGCGUGCAGGAAGACGGCCCUCUGGGUUGUAAACUGCUUUUAUCUGGGAAGAAAAAGGCCAUGCGUGGCAAAUUGCCGGUACCAGAUGAAUAAGCACCGGCUAACUCCGUGCCAGCAGCCGCGGUAAUACGGAGGGUGCAAGCGUUGUCCGGAUUUAUUGGGUUUAAAGGGUGCGUAGGCGGCUGAUUAAGUCAGCGGUGAAAGACUCGGGCUUAACCGGAGCAGUGCCGUUGAUACUGGUUAGCUUGAGUGUUGGAGGGGUACAUGGAAUUGAUGGUGUAGCGGUGAAAUGCAUAGAUACCAUCAGGAACACCGAUAGCGAAGGCAUUGUACUGGCCAACAACUGACGCUGAUGCACGAAAGUGUGGGGAUCGAACAGGAUUAGAAACCCUUGUAGUCC
rnacentral:rRNA from 1 species